UGAGCAAUCUGCCCUUCUCUUCGGAAUAAGCGUUGGAAACGACGUCUAAUGCCGAAUACGACCUCCUUUCGCAUGAUCGGAGGUGGAAAGCUCCGGCGGAGAAAGAUGGGCUCGCGUCUGAUUAGCUUGUUGGUGAGGUAACGGCCCACCAAGGCAACGAUCAGUAGCCGGACUGAGAGGUUGAACGGCCACAUUGGGACUGAGACACGGCCCAGACUCCUACGGGAGGNAGCG
rnacentral:rRNA from 1 species